rnacentral:rRNA from 1 species
CAGUAGCGCGGUAAUACAGAGGGUGCAAGCGUUAAUCGGAAUUACUGGGCGUAAAGCGCGCGUAGGUGGUUCGCCAAGUUGGAUGUGAAAUCCCCGGGCUCAACCUGGGAACUGCAUCCAAAACUGGCGAGCUAGAGUAUGGUAGAGGGUGGUGGAAUUUCCUGUGUAGCGGUGAAAUGCGUAGAUAUAGGAAGGAACAUCAGUGGCGAAGGCGACCACCUGGACUGAUACUGACACUGAGGUGCGAAAGCGUGGGGAGCAAACAGGAUUAGAUACCCGCGUAGUCCCUGUCUCUUAUACA